AGUGAACGCUGGCGGCAUGCCUAACACAUGCAAGUCGAACGGCAGCACAGUAAGAGCUUGCUCUUACGGGUGGCGAGUGGCGGACGGGGGAGGAAGACAUCGGAAACUACUUUUUCGUGGGUGAUAACGUAGGAAAACGUACGCUAAUACCGCAUACGACCUACUGGUGAAAGCAGGGGAUCUUCGGGCCUUUCGCGAGGGAAUGAGCCGAUGUCGGAUUAGCUAGUUGGCGGGGUAGAGGCACACCAAGGCGACGAUGCGUAUCUGCUCUGAGAGCGAGAUCAGCCACACGGGCACAGAGACACGGCCGCCACUCUGGCGCGAGGCCGCAGUCGGGAAUAUUAGGCGAUGCGGGAGAGGCUAAUAUAGCACAACCGCGUGAGUGAUGAAGCACUUAGGCUUGUAGAGCGCUGUUGUUGGGAAAGAAGUGAAGCACUUUAAUCCGCGGCGAUACUGACGGUACCCAAAGAAUAAGCACCGGCUAACUUCGUG
rnacentral:rRNA from 1 species